GUUCGACGGUGCCUGGGCGGCCGCCCCGCGGGCAAAGGUCUCGGGACCCGGUCUGUCAGACCUCGGACGUGGAAACUGGCAUCUCCCCUGGCUCGGAGUCCGCCCUCUCGGGGCGCCAGCGCAGUUGAUCGAUGUGCCUGAGCUGGCCUCUGUGAUUCCACGGCUGUCCCCAUGAGCAGGCGGCUCCAUGCUUCAAAGGCCCUGGAUUCCUGGGAGCUGAUGCCACCUUUCCUGAAGUCUGGGCUCCUUACCUUCUCUCUGCUCCGGGCAUACCAUUCCCAAAGGACAGUGCUUUUUAAAAGCCAUGGCCGAGGAGUAACUUGUGGUCCCAACCUGCGUUAUCAGUACCAAGAGCCUAUUAAUCAAAGAAUGGCAUGUU